GUCCCCCAGAGGAUGUCGGAAAUGUUUUGAUAUUUCUACCGGAUUUCCUCCACAAAGGCUGUUUAGUCAUAUUUCUACCGGAGUUAAAGUUGAGUCUGCCGGUCAAGAUGAGUCUAUCGGUCAGUGCGUCAACCCUCCACUCCACCUCUCCGCCCAGUAAAAAAAUUUCGCAACCGUUCGCUCCUCUACUCCUCAUCCACAUCCAUCCAGACGCCCAGCCGUUACUCCCAAUCUCCCAUGGUGACCAUGGCCUCGUGUAGUUGGGGUACAGGGUUCCAGGCGUGCUGCUCCGUUCAAGAGGUUCCAAGCCCAUUAGCUAUCUAACAGAUGGCUUCAAUCGCGUUCAUGAGCUCCUAAUUAGAUGCAGUUGACAGUUCCUUGCUACGAAAUGCACCUGCCAAUACACUGCUCACCAGAUAUUUGAUGGAAUGCCUCACUUCCAUUUUCCCAGGAAAGAUCAGUGCUGGGAAGAUCAAUUCAGCAAGAGGUGCCAGGGAUAGAGAAUUUAGAGCAAAUCAAAUUUUCUACAUAAACUAAAGCAGAAUUGCACUGUAUAUGGUAUGCUCCUCUGUACUUGUUUCUGUGUUCCAGAACUGUUGACUUCUUUAUUUGAGUGUGGAAGAACCUAUGUACUUAUAUGCAUAGGCGGGGUUAAUAAUUUUCUAUAUGCAGACUGCCUUAGUUUAAGUCAGCACUCAGCAGCAUGUUUAGUUGUACAGGAGAUGCGCCUGGCAUGUUAGUCUAUUUCCUAUUUCUUCAAAAAAAAAUGUUAGUCUAUUUCCUUGUCUAAUCUCCUUCCUUGAAUAUUGGGAUCUCUAUCCUUUUGAUUGUAAUCGUAUAUGGCAAACUGAUGCAAGCUAAAGCUACCACAUAUUUUGAUUUUUACAGUUUUACUGCAUCUGGAUAUUCCGAGUAUUUUCUAAUAGUAUGUGAGUUGAGAAUUUGCUAUGGUUCUCAACUAGAUUAUUUUACGAGAAUUAGUAUGUGAUUUUUACUGCAUCUGGAUGCCAUAUGAGGAGGAGACAGCUGGCGUUGCCGGGGAGCGUUUGGCGAUGGCAAGAGAUGGGGACUGGCCCGGAAGUUGGAACUGGAAGAGUGUGGUUUUUCCACAAGUGCCGGCCCGGGCAGGUAUGUUUGCUGCCGUUGAUUGAGCUCCAAAAGUCGUGCAACUUGAUGGGAGCUGUUGAAGUUGGUCCCACCACUUCGACGCGGGCCCCAUACCAAGCAGCCUGACUGCCUGAGGGUGCAACGCCAGGCAGACUAACCAGGCAUCAGCUGAGGCACGUUGGUAUAUGAGACCCACCUCUACUCCAUUCAUCCCUACCACCAACCAUGGUUUUAAAUAGCGGGCUAAGGGGUUUAGCGGUUGGACUCAAAAAAUAGCUAAUAGCGGGCUAAAUGAGGCUAUAGCGGGCUAUAGCGGCUAAAAUACACACGAGUUCAAAUAGCGGAACCAUGUCUCAAAUAGCUAUAGCGGGUCAUAGCGGAAGCUAUAGCGGGAGAUUUAAAACCUUGCCACCAACCCUGUCGUCCCUGUUAGCUCGCAAUUUUCACUGCCACCAUGGAUCCAUGGAGAUUGCUCAUCGCAGAUCCAGCGUAUGGAUCCUUGAACCAUUAAGGGCAGCAAGAGGAGAGGAUCCGGCCGCGCAGCGACGAGAUCCGAGUGAUUUCAAAUCCUGCCAUUAACGAAGAAGAGUUCACUAUGGAGGUGGUUUGACGGAGCUCGCGACAACAGGAGUCCUUAAGCAGCUACCUUCCAAGCAUUAGAGUUCUGAACCAUGGAGCUGUCGAGGCGGUCGGAAUGGAAGCGAUGAAGCCAACAAGCAGAGCACAAACAAGCUGAAGCCUUUAGUAAUAUGAUAUUUGGAAGAUUCUACCACAGAAAUAUUAGCAAAUUUAUUACCAAAAGCAAAUUGGUAAAUAGACGAGCCUAGAAGGCGUCACCUAUGAUUACCUUUGCAAAUAAGAUGGUUUACUUGAUGCAUUUAGCAAACAACUCGACUCAAACGAUGCUGCCAGUAACAAAAGAAAUGUUCCAGAAGUCUACUAUUGGUUCCUUAUGCCAAUAGUUAGAAGAUGUGAGAAUUUGGUCUAGCAUUACCAACUGCUUACACAUUAUCUAUACUAUAAAAGUUGAAAUAUUUGAAACCUUUUCUCACCAAAGUUAGGCCCACCGUACCCCUCACGGAGGUCUCACUUGUCAUGCCAAAAGUUUUGACGAAAGGAGGUGGAGUCCCAUUUUUUGAUAGAUAGAAAAUAUUUUCACCCAAAAGUCUUGUUUUUUUCACCAAAAGUUUUACCAUACCCAUCGCUGUAUUUUUGGAAGUAAAAAGAGAUAGAAUGCUGCCUUUUGGAAGCAAAAAGAGAGAGGAUAGCUGAUUUUGGGGGAUGCUACUUUUUUGGAAGUAAAAGAGAGAGGAUCGCUGAUUACCGUACCCACCACUGUUUUUUUGGAAGUAAAAAGAGAGAGGAUGCUGAUUUUUUGGAAGUAAAAAGAGAGAGGAUCGCUGAUUUUUAGGAUGUUGUUUUUUUAAGUAAAAAGAGAGGAUGUUUUUUUGGAAGUAAAAAAUAGAGGAUCACUGAUUUUUUUGGGGAUGCUGUUUUUUUGGAAGUAAAGAGAGAGGAUUGCUGAUUUUUUUUGUAGUAAAAAAGAGAGGAUCACUGAAUUUUUGGAAGCAAGGGAGAUCACGGUCACGUUCCUCUGCCGAUUGUCCCGUUCAUCUCGUUCUGGCCGCCGCUUUCAUCGCACAGCACCACGCGCUGGGUGCCCUCCCGUUCCUCUGCCACUCUUGUCGCACGUCACCGCACGCUGCCUGCCCGUCUGCUUGGCGUGCUCACACGUCACUGCGUGCUACCUGUCCUGUCGCGGCCUCGCCUCCUCGGUGCUCUCCCUUCGCCCCACGUUGCUGCACGCUGCCGUAUUCUUGAUUGCACGCCUGAUCGUUCAGCUGCUUCGUCGCAGCCGUGGCCUCGUCUGCUCGGAGUGCUCCAUCCGCUCCACGUUGCCACGCUCUGCCGCGUUCCUGACUGCCCGCCUGCUCGGCGCGUGGGGUUCAGGUUUAGGCACCGGCGCCCUCCUGCACAUUUGGUUGAUCGUCGCCACCGGUGCCCCUGUCCGUCGAGAAGGGUGCCAUUGAGGUGCGAGACUCCACCCGUUGGCGCCAUAGGCGGCUCUGGUCAUCCCCAUCCGGCAGCCCUGUUCGCCGAGAAGGGAACAUAGAGGUUCGAGGUUUGAUUCAUAAUUGUUCUCUAAACGUCUCCCACCUCCUGCAUGUUUGCUCAAAGAGGUUAUUCUUCGUUUGAUUAACCAGCACCGAGAUGAUUCUUUAUUUAUUUUUUGUUGUGACAUAUUUUGAUGGGUUGAAGCAAAGGGAUGGCCAUCGACCAUUUGGAGAUAUCACCAAUACCUUGAAUCAUCGUUAGCGACAUUCACAUGAUCCACAUGAUAACCAAGCUGUGCAAAAUGUUGAUUGCACCAAGCAAAGAGAAGUUAAGCGGCAAAAGGCUAGGGAAAAAUAUGCAAGCAUGCCAGCUGAUAAAAAAGCUGAGUUGAAUGCUAUGAGGCGAGAAAGUUAUCAUCGGAAAAAGGCCGAAAGAGAAGCUGCUCAGAAUGAUACACAGAAUCUCGGCACAAUUUUUACAACCCGACAUUCAGUAUGUGAGUCUGCUAACUCAAUAUGUAUUGACCAUAUGUAGGUGUUGCUCCUUUGAUUAAUGAAACAAAUACGUCCAAUGGCAAUGUUGAGCAACCGAAUUUUGAGUUAGACGGGAGAACCACAACAGGUGUUGCCCAUGUGAUUAAUGAAACAAAUACGUCAAAUGGUGUUGUUGAACAUCUAACUUCUGAGUUAAACGAGAGAACUACAGAUGAUUUUGAUGAUUCAUGGUUGCGUCACAAUGAUACUUUCCAAACAAUUCCAAUGGAAGUUCUUUCGCAAUUGUCUCUGGUCGAGCGGCGGAGGGUGAAAGACAGAGAAAGGUGGAGCAAAAGAUACCUUAAUAUGACAAAUGAUCAGAAGGCUAAGAAAAAAUGCCAACAAGCAAUCAACUAGGACUAUCAAUUAUUCAGAUAUUAUAGCCAGUGUUGCAGCCAACAAAAGUUUGCACAUUUUUUGAAGCAUCAUUAUUUCUAUUACAACAUAUAUGGUUUAUUUCUUAACCAUUUAUGUUUAUAUAUAUAACAACAUAUAUGGUUUAUUUAUUAAUCU